rnacentral:rRNA from 1 species
AGGAAUAUUGGACAAUGGAGGCAACUCUGAUCCAGCCAUGCCGCGUGAAGGAAUAAGGCCCUAUGGGUUGUAAACUUCUUUUAGACGGGACAAAACCCCUUUACGUGUAAAGGGUUGAUGGUACUGUCAGAAUAAGCAUCGGCUAACUUCGUGCCAGCAGCCGCGGUAAUACGAAGGAUGCAAGCGUUAUCCGGAAUUAUUGGGUUUAAAGGGUGCGUAGGCGGACUAAUAAGUCAGUGGUGAAAGCCUGCAGCUUAACUGCAGAAUUGCCAUUGAUACUGUUAGUCUUGAGUACAGUUGCGUUAGGCGGAAUGUGUCAUGUAGCGGUGAAAUGCUUAGAUAUGACACAGAACACCGAUUGCGAAGGCAGCUUGCUAAGCUGUAACUGACGCUGAGGCACGAAAGCGUGGGG